rfam:Citrus sinensis cultivar Ridge Pineapple sweet orange scaffold03767_contig_2, whole genome shotgun sequence.
GCCUUAAGUAAUGAUGACUUAAUUUUGCACAUAUUAUCUGGCCUAGGACCAGAUUAUAAUUCAGUAGCUACCUAUAUAACUAGUCAAGUAGGAGCUGGAAAGAUGGAUCUGAAUGAAGCCUUUGCAAUGCUCUUAAC